UAGGGGAGUGGCAAGCGUUAUCCGGAAUUAUUGGGCGUAAAGCGUCCGCAGGCGGCCUUGUAAGUCUGUUGUUAAAGCGUGCAGCUUACCUCCAUAUUCGGCAGUCGUAAACUAGACACGACUAGACUGUGGUAGGGGCAGAGGGAAUUCCCGGUGUAGCGGUGAAAUGCGCAGAUAUCGAGCAAGAACACCAGUGGCGAAGGCGCUCUGCUGGGCCAUAACUGACGCUCAUGGACGAAAGCCAGGGGAGCGAAAGGGAUUAGAUACCCCUGUAGUCCUGGCCGUAAACGAUGAACACUAGGUGUCGGGGGAAUCGACCCCCUCGGUGUCGUAGCCAACGCGUUAAGUGUUCCGCCUGGGGAGUACGCACGCAAGUGUGAAACUCAAAGGAAUUGACGGGGGCCCGCACAAGCGGUGGAGUAUGUGGUUUAAUUCGAUGCAACGCGAAGAACCUUACCAGGGUUUGACAUCCUGCGAAUCCCUUGGAAACGAGGGAGUGCCUUCGGGAGCGCAGUGACAGGUGGUGCAUGCCUGUCGUCAGCUCGUGUCGUGAGAUGUUGGGUUAAGUCCCGCAACGAGCGCAACCCACGUCGUUAGUUGCCAGCAUUCAGUUGGGCACUCUAGCGAGACCGCCGGUGAUAAACCGGAGGAAGGUGUGGAUGACGUCAAGUCAUCAUGCCCCUUACAUCCUGGGCUACACACGUACUACAAUGCUACGGACAAAGGGCAGCAAACUCGCGAGAGCUAGCAAAUCCCAUAAACCGUGGCUCAGUUCAGAUCGUAGGCUGCAACUCGCCUACGUGAAGGAGGAAUCGCUAGUAAUCGCAGGUCAGCAUACUGCGGUGAAUACGUUCCACGGGCCU
rnacentral:rRNA from 1 species